rnacentral:lncRNA from 1 species
UCAACCAACACCUAACACUCUCCUGUGUUCGUAUGCUACCCCUCCCUCCCUUAAUGUGCUCUCUCCUCCAUAGAGGUGGAUAUACACAGAUUCAUGCCCCUGGGAAGCAGACUUGGGGAUGUCUACUCAAACCAACCACACAACACAUGGCCUGCAUGUGCUGAGGACCAUGGAAGCGCCAAUGUCUACAUCCUUUAGCUCCCAAGAGGACAUCAACCAGACCUUCCCAGUUCUGGUUACAGGAAUAAGAAAAAUGAAAUAUCAACUGAAGGCAAAACCAGAGAAUAGCAUCAAAAGCACCAAUAUCUGAAUCUAAACUGUCACUGAUAAAUCACUAAAACUGAGUGAUUAUGAGUUUAACGUGCUUGAGAUGACACA